GACGAACGCUGGCGGCGUGCUUAACACAUGCAAGUCGAACGGAAAGGCCCUGCUUUUGUGGGGUGCUCGAGUGGCGAACGGGUGAGUAACACGUGAGUAACCUGCCCUUGACUUUGGGAUAACUUCAGGAAACUGGGGCUAAUACCGGAUAGGAGCUCCUGCUGCAUGGUGGGGGUUGGAAAGUUUCGGCGGUUGGGGAUGGACUCGCGGCUUAUCAGCUUGUUGGUGGGGUAGUGGCUUACCAAGGCUUUGACGGGUAGCCGGCCUGAGAGGGUGACCGGCCACAUUGGGACUGAGAUACGGCCCAGACUCCUACGGGAGGCAGCAGUCGGGAAUCUUGCGCAGUGGGCGGAAGCCUGAUGCAGCAACGCCGCGUGCGUGAUGACGGCCUUCGGGUUGUAAACCGCUUUCGCCUGUGACGAAGCGUGAUUGACGGUAAUGGGUAAAGAAGCACCGGCUAACUACGUG
rnacentral:rRNA from 1 species